UUAGAGUGGGGGAUAACCAGUCGAAAGACUGGCUAAUACCGCAUAAGACCACAGGAUCUGAGGAUCCCGAGGUAAAAGGUUUUUCGCUCUAAGAUGAGCCCGCGUAAGAUUAGCUAGUUGGUGAGGUAAUGGCUCACCAAGGCGACGAUCUUUAACUGGUCUGAGAGGAUGAUCAGUCACACUGGAACUGAGACACGGUCCAGACUCCUACGGGAGGCAGCAGUAGGGAAUAUUGCACAAUGGAGGAAACUCUGAUGCAGCGACGCCGCGUGAGUGAUGAAGGACUUCGGUUCGUAAAGCUCUGUUGCAAGGGAAUAAAAAAAUGAAUGUACCUUGUGAGGAAGGGUCGGCUAACUUCGUGCCAGCAGCCGCGGUAAGACGAGGGACCCUAGCGUUGUUCGGAAUCAUUGGGCGUAAAGCGGGUGUAGGUGGCUUUGUAAGUCAGAUGUGAAAUCCCUGGGCUCAACCCAGGACGUGCAUUUGAUACUGCGAAGCUUGAGUGCUGGAGAGGUUACUGGAAUACCUGGUGUAGUGGUGAAAUACGUAGAUAUCAGGUGGAACACCGGUGGCGAAGGCGGGUAACUGGCCAGACACUGACACUCAGACCCGAAAGCGUGGGGAUCAAACAGGAUUAGAUACCCUGGUAGUCCACGCCGUAAACGAUGGAUACUUGUUGUUGGAGGUAUUGACCCCUUCAGUGACGAAGCUAACGCGUUAAGU
rnacentral:rRNA from 1 species